rnacentral:piRNA from 1 species
UGGAUUUUGAGUUUCGGGCUCUAGAUGG